rnacentral:rRNA from 1 species
AUGAGGAUGCCUGGCCUACCUUUACCUGCCCGGGACGCAGCGGACGCUGGGUGUGAAUUCAGUUACCCUCAGUCUGCAGACCAGAUGCGACAGCAACAGCUGAGAGCUCGAUUAUCUCCAGAUGAGCAGCUUGCGGUUGAAGAAAGUUCCGCGUUGUACUGCAAGCCAGUUGAGCUAUACAAUAUCAUUCAGCGGCGAGCCAUUAGAAAUAUCAAUUUUAGUUCAAUCGAACCGGGGUAUGGCAGGCAAAAGAACGACAUGCUGGCGGUGACAUGGCAUGACUGGAAUCUUGCCAUGGGUUUUCCUACAUGCGCUUUUCUCAUGGCCCUCGAUAAAUUUGUCCGCCAACAGCUCGAAACCACCACCGUCUCGCUCUGCGGCAUGUGCCUCCUCCCACCGGAGAAUGACUGCGGCCUGCCGCUGUGGCCCUGGGUGGUGCUCCUCCACAGGUCGAGGGGUAAUAUUUUGCUUGAACGGCAUUCUCGGAUAUAUCGAUUCAAUCGAGCUUGUUUGCUUACAGCUUUUAGUGAAUUUGGUAAUAAAGGUCGCACCAAAGCUACAUUCAUAACUCCAGACAUCAAGAAUGUAUCAACCUUUCGAGCUUGCAACCUUAACAUUAUUCUUAUCAGCUGUGUUUUGGAAGGGCAAGUUAGGGAAAAUCUUGGUGAAAAUAACUGCUCUCUGGACCAUGUGGAAGGCUCUGCUCUCCAAAAGCCUGAAGGGAAAUGUUUCUGGGGUAAAAUACCAAUUGAUCUACUUGGUUCGUCUUUGGAGAACUGUGUAACUUUAAAUUUGGGACAUAUAGUGGAGUUGGCUUCUGCAGUUAGCAUGAGCCCAAGUAUCUUAGAGCCGAAAUUUAUGGAGCAAGACAGUUGCUUGACAUUUUGCUCUCAUAAGGUUGAUGCUACGGAUGGCAGCACCUUACUGCAGUAUGUUCUGUUAUUUCCUUUUGUAGCUUCUCUGAGAUUUGUAUUAUUGUUGCAUGGUUCAUAUCAACUCCAAGUAGGCAUAUCUGCUCAAGAAGCUGGUGCAAAAGACAUGUCUGAAUCUCCAUAUAAUAGUUACUUAUACAGUGGUGUCCCACCUUCAUCAUUACCACAUAUCAUAAAGUUGAGAGCUGGUAAUGUGCUUUUCAACUUCAAGUACUACUGCAAUACUAUGCAAAAUACUGAAGGUGUUCCACAUUUUCUCCUUAUACCUGACUGUGUAAAGUUAGUAUAUGAUCCUGGAACUAAGUUUGGUAAUGAUUUUGCUUGCCCCUUCUGCUUGGUAAAAAUGUGGAAGCUACAAGAUAGUAUGUCCACCCAAGAGUGCUUCUAUGUCCUUGUUGGUCAAGCCCAUUCAGUAGAAGAAAUCCCUAAGGCCCGCUGCGGCCUUUCUCUACCCCCGGAGACCGGUCAAAAAAACAGUCACCCCAGUAACCCCCUCCCACCUCUCUCUCGAGCGCUGCCGCCGCCUUCGUUCCCGGCCGCUGCCACCCGUAUCCCGCGCUUCACUCCCCCGGUGCCGCUCCGCCUCCCAGCGCCUGCUCUUCCUUAUGCCUCACGCGUGGCCUGGCGACCGCGAGGGUUCCUGUUUCGGAAGGGCAAGUUGGGGAAAAUCUUGGUGAAAAUAACUGCUCUGUGGACCAUGUGGAAGGCUCUGCUCUCCAAUAGCUUGAAGGGAAAUGUUUCUGGGGUAAAAUACCAAUUGAUCUACUUGCCGAAAUUUAUAGAGCAGGACAGUUGCUUGACAUUUUGCUCUCAUAAGGUUGAUGCUAUGUGGGUUCAUAUCAACUCCAAGUAG